rnacentral:snRNA from 1 species
AUACUUACCUUGGCACAGGCUUUACUAGUGAUCCGCAAGGCUGUGGGCCCGGGGCGAGACCUUCCAUUGCACAUCGGUUUGUUGGACCCUGGGCGAUCGUCCCAAAUGUGGACGACUCGGGUGCGCAAUUUAUAAGGUGGGGACUGCGUUCGCGCUCUCCCUUU